GGGCAGAUACCCAAGCGGCCAACGGGGCCAGACUGUAAAUCUGGUGGCAAAGCCUUCACUGGUUCGAAUCCAGUUCUGCCCACCA
rnacentral:tRNA from 1 species